rnacentral:rRNA from 1 species
GAUGAACGCUGGCGGCGUGCCUAAUACAUGCCAGUCGAGCGAACGGACGAGAAGCUUGCUUCUCUGAUGUUAGCGGCGGACGGGUGAGUAACACGUGGAUAACCUACCUAUAAGACUGGGAUAACUUCGGGAAACCGGAGCUAAUACCGGAUAAUAUUUUGAACCGCAUGGUUCAAAAGUGAAACACGGUCUUGCUGUCACUUAUAGAUGGAUCCGCGCUGCAUUAGCUAGUUGGUAAGGUAACGGCUUACCAAGGCAACGAUGCAUAUCCGACCUGAGAGGGUGAUCGGCCACACUGGAACUGAGACACGGUCCAGACUCCUACGGGAGGCAGCAGUAGGGAAUCUUCCGCAAUGGGCGAAAGCCUGACGGAGCAACGCCGCGUGAGUGAUGAAGGUCUUCGGAUCGUAAAACUCUGUUAUUAGGGAAGAACAUAUGUGUAAGUAACUGUGCACAUCUUGACGGUACCUAAUCAGAAAGCCACGGCUAACUACGUG